rnacentral:tRNA from 1 species
UGGGGUAUAGCCAAGUGGUAAGGCAACGGACUUUGACUCCGUCAUUCCGCUGGUUCAAAUCCAGCUACUCCAA